CCGAUUAAAUCGGCCGAUAUUUGACCUUUUUUAAUCCAUUGGCAUCGGUCGAUGGUCGUGGCCGAUAUGGCCGAUUUAUAUUCUGGCACGUCCGCAGGCAGCCCACUGUUAUUGAUGUGGUGGAUCGUGCAGCCGCUGCGUGAGAAGGACCCAAGCCAAAACUUUUUUGAACACACAACUCUCCUCGGAAAAGAGACACAUCUUCUUCUGACAGUUCCUCCUCCUGAUCAAGUUCCUCCUCCUGGUCAAGUUCCUCCUCAGUAGGGUUCCAAAUAAACUCAAAUCUGCUGCAGUGGAGCUUCUUUUCAUUGUGGUGUCUGCGAAAAGCUGGUCCUGAGAGGUUUUGAGCUUUCAUACCCAUCAAAGAAUAAAAACACGUUUACACACCUGUAGUUUUGAAGUUGUGUAUGUGUGCGUGUGUGCACGUGCAUGCGUGCGUGUGUACGUACAUGUGUGCAUAAUCAGUCACAGCAGUAGACUCUUAUGUGUAAUUGAACACAGAUCACAGCUUAGUAACAACCUGGCAACGGAGAAACUUUCUGGUCCCGUCAAAGCUUAUAGAGAUUGUGGAGUUUCCCAAACUAAAUAAGUACCGCAUGUAUAAACACUAAACUGCUUUGAUAGUUCAGUUGUGUAGUGACUAAGAUAACUGCUGACAAAGAGAUUUUUCCAUGGACAGAUUGGCCUCCUAACUUCACAUUUGUUUUGAAGCUUGUGCCGUAUCAGCGACUCACCGGAACAGCUGAGGAUGGGCCAAACAUUUCCAGUAACUCCACAGCAUUGUAAAGUCCAAAAGACAAAUUGUGUUGAACAAAGAUCGAUGGAAUCAAAAUGAAUAUCGUGCUAGUAUUCUAAAUAUAAAUAUUUUCUCUUCACUCACUGAACUGUUUAAACUCCAACAUGCUGCACACAGACGAGGUACACACCUAUAUUAACGAGGUGGUCGAAUUCAUUAAAGAAAGCUGAAUUUGUAAAUUCAGAUGUAUUACUUUAUUAAAGUUGACUUCCAGUGGACUUACUCGUAUUUAUUUACAUGUUCUAUAUUUUCAGGAGGUGACAAUGUGGAGAUGGCGGAGUGAUAUUUUUAGUGAUUAGUCAGGUGUGCUGUCAUGCUGAUUAAAGCACAUUCUAAAUGUCUAGUUGACCAAUCAGAUUCCUUGACCUACUUGUUGUAUAAUUUUACUUGAGUAAUAUUAUUCUAAAGUAACAAUAGUCUUACUUGAGUAAAGUUACUAUUUUGGCUACUCUAAGAUUACUCACUUCUGGGUGGAAAAUAAGAAUAUAAAUAUAUUUGUGUUCCAUUGACUGUUAUUUCUGGAAAGAUUUAAUUUAUUUUUGUGGUAGUUGAAGUUUAAAGUACAUGAAUUUGCUGAUUGUUGAUUAUUAUUUUGAUUGAAUGAUUGCAUUAAUGUUAUUUGAUGAAUAAAUCAGACUUUAGGCUACUCAAAAGUUA